GACGAACGCUGGCGGCGUGCUUAACACAUGCAAGUCGAGCGGUGCGGCGAACGGGAGAGUAACGCGAGAGUAACUGCCCCCCUCUCUGGGAUCGCAGUUGGAAACGGCUGCUAAUACCGGAUCGUGGGGGAUGUCUCGCGGCCUAUAAGCUUGUUGGUGGGGUGGUGGCCUACCACGGCGACGACGGGUAGCCGGCCUGAGAGGGCGAACGGCCACAUUGGGCUGAGAUACGGCCCAGACUCCUACGGGAGGCAGCAGUGGGGGAUAUUGCACAAUGGGCGCAAGCCUGAUGCAGCGACGCCGCGUGGGGGAUGAAGGCUUUCGGGUUGUAAACCUCUUUCGGUACAGAACAGGUAUGUGCAGAAGAAGCGCCGGCUAACUACGUGCCAGCAGCCGCGGUAAUAC
rnacentral:rRNA from 1 species